ACCAGUAGGACCAGAUGACCAUGGAGGCCUGACCUGGGGCUGCCCGGCAGUAGUGGAAACCCAGGUGCCCCAGAGCUGAGUCUUUCACAGGCACCCAGAAGGCUAUCCUUAAUCCCUCUGGGCCAAGUAGCAGCAAAGCCUAGGAGCUCCCUGAGGGCCAUAGACUACUCGGCUGUAUUCUGUUAUCCCUGCCUUUUCCUGGAAUGCCGAGGCUCACAAUGUAACUUCAGCUAAGAAUACAAAUAUCAGUGUGGGGCAGCCUGAGCUGAGGAUUCAUCUGGGAGGAUCAACUCUAAGACUGAUGCUCUCACGAAGAUCUCAGGAAUACCCACAAAGGGUGCCUGUCCUCUUGCUCUUGUGUGGGUUCUGUGUCUUACAAACCUACUCUCCUGACCCCGCUUCUCAGCAUGCAUCACCCGUGUGCCUGAGAGACCCACAAAUGCUACGCUCUACACUUCACCCUGAGGGGCUCCUCAGCAACCAGGACAACUGUGAGAGGCUGAGGGUGUCACUUCAUCUCUGGAAGAGCACACAAAGGUGGGUGUUUUUGCUGUUUGUUUCUCCUGUGGCCAGUAUUUGCACAGUGGCUCUCCAAGGCUCAUCUGAGUGAUCCCAGGGUACAGGAGCAACUUAAGGAUCCCACUUGCUUCCUUCCUUCUGCCACUGAGUUAAAACAGGGAAUUUGCCAGUCACCAUUUCUACAUCUUUCAGGCCAUGUGCAUCUAUCUUCAGACUCCUCUCACCCUUCUAGCCCAUCAUUGGUCCGUUUGGUUGCUGUUGUCAGGUUAACGGUAGGCUGGCCCUUUGCCUCUAGGGGUAUUAAUGUGAGCCACCAGCAGGAGAUAUGCCAGCAGCUGUGGGACCCACCUGUCUCUCAUUGACUGUAGACCAGUUCCAGGCAGCUUGAGCAGCAAAGCACAGGGGCACACUAGCAGGCCGGGGCACAGCAGAGUGUGGGUGUUAUAUUGCCUCUGAGCACUGUAUCACUUUAUCCACUGCUUAGGGACUAAUGGAUCAGGAGUAUAAAGAGAAGGUUACAGCCAUGUCCUUGGUAAUCCAUGGACUGUGAUCUGCGUGUUCAGCCCACGUCAGCAGUUUGAUUUCAAGGGUUGAUUUGCGUAUGCCAGUGGAAGACUCAGGGUCUUAUCUAACCCAUGAAUUUCCAAAACAAUUUAUAAGGUACUUUUUCAGAAACAUGGCACUGUUAAAAUUAGAAAUUAAUAUAUAACUUC
rnacentral:lncRNA from 1 species